CGCGCAGGCGGUCGGAUAAGUCGAGUGUGAAAGCCCCUGGCUCAACCAGGGAGGGUCACUCGAUACUGUUCGACUCGAAGGCAGGAGAGGGAAGUGGAAUUCCGGGUGUAGUGGUGAAAUGCGUAGAUAUCCGGAGGAACACCAGUGGCGAAGGCGACUUUCUGGCCUGUUCUUGACGCUGAGGCGCGAAAGCUAGGGAGCAAACG
rnacentral:rRNA from 1 species